rnacentral:rRNA from 1 species
AUUGAACGCUUGCGGCAGGCCUAACACAUGCAAGUCGAGCGAGCGGCGGACGGGUGAGUAAUGUAUGGGGUCUGCUCGAUAGAGGGGGAUAACUACUGGAAACGGUGGCUAAUACCGCAUACUAUCGGAUAACCCAUAUGGGAUUAGCUAGUAGGUGGGGUAAAGUCUCACCUAGGCGACGAUCUCUAGCUGGUCUGAGAGGAUGAUCAGCCACACUGGGACUGAGACACGGCCCAGACUCCCACGGAGGCAGCAGUGGGGAAUAUUGCACCAUGGGCGCAAGCCUGAUGCGGCCAUGCCGCGUGUAUGAAGAAGGCCUUAGAGUUGUAAAGUACUUUCAGCGGGGAGGCGUUACCCACAGAAGAAGCGCCGGCUAACUACGUGCCAGCCGCCGCGGUAAUUC